rnacentral:lncRNA from 1 species
CUAGUAGUAGUAGUCUAGUGGUAGUAGUGUUGUGGUAGAGAUCAGAAGAAGACCGGACCGGGUGUUGCCAGCUCCAAUUGCGGUCACCCGGACACGGACGGGAUCCGAUCCCCGGAUCAGCAGCUCAGCUGUACUGGACGAAGGAGCGGUAGAAGGUGUUGGGCCUCCAGUUGGCCGGGAUGACGUUGUGGGCGACGAGCGUCUUGCCGGACUCGUUGCGGAUGCGGAUCGAGAAGGGCGCCUGCAUGCGGUGGUUGGUGUCCAUGCGCCAGACGUUGCCCCAGGACUCGCGCAUCGGCGUCCACCGCCCCGUCGGCGGGCCGUGCGCCGUCUUCGACUCCAUGAGGUCCACCUGCACCACGUCGCCGUCGCCGUCCUCGUAUUCGACGAGUACCGCGAAGUAGACGGGGUUCGAGU